GUUUAUUCAAGUUAGACUCAUUUGUGUACCUGAACCAAUCGUUUAACAAUAGUGUUUAGUCUGAUAUUGAUUUCUAUUCAAUAGAUAAGAGCCAGCAAGAAAAUUGAAAAGGUAACGCCCAAUUAUGGAAAAAAAAGUAAACUUAGAAAAUAGGGAUAUUGCUGAGGAAGAAGGAACUGAGGAUAAUGAAAUGAAGCAAGUUGUACAUGACCCUAGUCGUGAAGGGGGUCGACAUAAAAUUCCAGUAAUGUUGAUGUCUCAAAUUAAAGACAUUGUGAAAUAUCCAGUAAAAGAUCCUAAGAGGAAGGAUGUUAAAAGAUUUUGUGUCCUUCCAAGAUAUUAUGAAUGGUCUGGGCCAAGUGAUGAUAGAAAUAGCAAAU